rnacentral:piRNA from 1 species
UGUCAAUAAAGAAAUUAGCCAGUUGAAUG